rnacentral:rRNA from 1 species
UACGUAGGGGGCAAGCGUUGUCCGGAUUUAUUGGGCGUAAAGAGCGUGUAGGCGGCCAUGUAGGUCCGUUGUGAAAACUCGAGGCUCAACCUCGAGACGCCGAUGGAAACCAUGUGGCUAGAGUCCGGAAGAGGAGAGUGGAAUUCCUGGUGUAGCGGUGAAAUGCGCAGAUAUCAGGAAGAACACCCGUGGCUAAGGCGGCUCUCUAGUACGGUACUGACGCUGAAGACGCGAAAGCGUGGGGAGCAAACAGG